UACGUAGGCGGUUUAUUAAGUCAGAUGUGAAAGCCCCGGGCUUAACCUGGGAACUGCAUUUGAUACUGGUAAACUAGAGUAUGGUAGAGGGGGUAGAAUUCCUAGUGUAGCGGUGAAAUGCGUAGAUAUUAGGAGGAAUACCAGUGGCGAAGGCGGCCCCCUGGACCAAUACUGACGCUGAGGUACGAAAGCGUGGGUAGCGAACA
rnacentral:rRNA from 1 species